GGAGCUUAAAUAUAAUUUCUGAUUUUAACACUGUAAGAUAAUUUAUUAACAUAGAUAAUACUUUUACCAUGGUGAUAAUGUGCUCAUUUCUAGAUAAAAAAACUUCUGUGAGUUGAAGUGAUCCUGAGACUUGAAACCAAUUUUAGGAAAAGUUUAGAACAAGAGUAAAGAGGUUUAGAAAAAAAUUAAGAAAUACGGCAGGCAAAAUCAGAAAUAGUGUAAACAAAUUUGUACGUUUCAAAAAAACAUUUCAUUAAAUGCUAAAUGUGUGUUUCUUGUGCUAUCUUACAAUAGUGUUCAUAAAUAAGAAAAAAAUCAUUUGUUACAUCAAAUGUUCUGAUUUUUGAUGAGGCAACUAUGGUCACUAUACAUAUGAUUGGAAACUAGAGAGAAAAGAAAAGCAAUUAACAAAGAGCUUUAAUAACUGCAGAACAUAUGAAAACGUAAGUAUGAUAAAACUCAGACAGUUAAUUUUGAGGUAACUUAGAAAGAAUGGCAU
rnacentral:lncRNA from 1 species